AACCACAAAGUAAUAUGUAUAAAAUAACGCCAGCUGCCCAUACGUCAAUCUGAAAAGGAAAUGUGAAUGUUGAAUGAUUGGCAUUUUAGGUUUAGGACCGGUACUGAAACAACAUCAAACUACAUUAAACCAUAUACUUAGAAAAAUAUUAAAAUAACCAAUUCAGCAAUUCAUUGAAAUUACGUUAAAACUAUUAAAUGUUGGUGAAUUCCAAUAACAAUCAGCAAUACGUCUAGGAAAUACAAACCCAUUUCGAAGACAGGGAGUCUUUUUAUAUUGCUGAAUCGACUUGCUUUCUUCGAAGUCCAAUUCAAAAUCAUCUAGACUAUGCCGUUCAUUCCCAUAGAUAAAGAAAACAUCCUCUGAUUCGAAGAAAUGUGGAAGUACUGUCACUGGUUGACCUAAUAAUGCAAACAGAAGCCUUAGAAAUGUUACGAAGCUUAUCGUACGUAGGUAUAAGCAAACCUUAAAAUGAAUUUAUUUAAAACAUUAAUAAAAACAAGAUUAUUCAAA